CAGCAGGCCAUGUGCCUCUCUGCCUGCACACCGCCUCGGUAUUUUCCAUGGACACGUGCCCUCAUUACCAGCUCUGCAAUUCCACCCUUUCCUCUGGCCUGCCCCGAGAUCAGCCUGGAGGGGCUCCAGGCCAGGGUUUGGGGUGCUGGGAAGGGGAGGGAGCAUCUCUGACCUUGCAGUUCCUGGAAAGGGGUGAGGCCCUGGGUGGACCUGGAACCUCCCUGGAGCCCAUGAGCUCUGGGUGAAUGCCCUGAAUGCAGGCGGGUCCCGGGGACCACUCCCCUUCCUGUCCACAAGUGUCUGAAGCCGGACAGAGGCAUGAGGAGAGUGAGAUACGGCCGUCUGGCUGGGAAGCCGAAGAUGCAGUGGGAACCAGUUCCCAGGGCGACUGGAAAGAAAGAAAGCACACAAUCACCCGCUGCCUGCCUGCCUCUGGUCAUGCCUCUACCAAUGCUAGCUCUGCCUACCAUCAGUGUGUGGGGUGUGGUGCCACUUCGUCCUGAGAUGCCACCAGUCUAGCCCUCAUGUCUGGCAUAUCCACCUUUUGGAGUAAGCUGAUCCUGCUCUGACACUUGUUCUCACGUUGCUUGCCAGGGCUGAUUCUGCAGAAGGCUCAGUGGGUGGUGUUCUCUUUCUGCCUCUUCUCUUGUGAUGGGCAGAUCUGAAGAUGACUCCCAAUGAUCUCUGUCUUUUGGUAUCCACCUCCUUGUGUAGUCCCCUCCCCUUGAGUGUGGGUGGAAACUGUGACUUAACUUCUAGCAAAAAGAAAGCAAAGGUGAUGGGAUGUCACUUCCCUGCUUACAUUACAUAGAAUAUAACUUCCCUCUUGCUAGCUUCCCUCUACUGCCUUCUUGGCUUGCAUGGAUGCCAGCAGCCAUUUUGAGGAGACUCACAUGACACAGAACUGAGGGCUGCCUCUGACCCACAGCCUGCAAGGAACUGAACCCUGCCAACAAUUGUUUUCAGAAGUGAAUCCUUCCCCAGUGGAGCUUCAGAUGAGACCCUAACCCAGACCAACAACUUGAUUGCAGCUUUGUGAGAAACCCUGAACCAGAGGACCCAACUAAGCUCUGCCUAAAUUCCUGACCCACAGCAACCAUGAGAUAAUAAAUGUUUGUUGCUUUAAACCA
rnacentral:lncRNA from 1 species